UUUUUGAGCUUACUUGAACCUUGUAUCACGUCUUAGUGAGCACACUGUAAUCAUAAUAAAGAAAAUUCAAUGAAGCAUUUCUUAUUGAUUUGAGGAUCCCUAACCAUUACUUUGUGCAUUUACUGUUUGUUUUUGCAUUACUUUUGCUAUUUUAAUUGUUGUUCAAUACAAAUAUCCUCGUUUGCUAGUUUAUGUGUAUUGUAGGAAGUAUGCCAUGUGCACCACUUAAUUCUUAAACAGCCUUUUAGCUGCGGUGAAUCAAAGCCCAGUCCACCAAACUACAACAAUUUGGCCUAGGAUCCUUGGGCCUGAGUGCUAGAGAAAAAGCACUCUCACACGGUUCCUCUGCUUUCAGGUUUUAUUUUGGAGCAGAGGGAGCCUUAGUCGAGUUUUGGAAGGAACUGGUUUUAGUUUUUAAAUGUAUAGAUCCCAAAUUUGUAUCUGAUGUUUAGUUUUGUGGUAUUGUGUAUUUUAGGACCUAAUAAAAGUUGUGUACCUUAAAGUAUUAAGAGAUGUAUUAUGUGAAAGUGUGGAAAUUGAAUGAUA